AUGAAAUGUAUUUGUUUAUCCGUAUAAAAGCUUUUUAAACAAAACAACACGCUUUACUUAGCAACAUCGCAUGAAAAUCGCACAAUAAUUUGCCAAUGUGGGAUUUCGAAAUAAUACUAUAUAAUGACCGGUUUUCGUAUAAAGAUAAAAAACAUCUUAACUUCUGUAUCAAAUGUAGUGCAAACAAUAUAUGAAAUAUACUACAGGCGAAACCGAAGUUUUUAUACCCUUACAGUUAAGUGGAAGUUCAUAUAAUUUUUAUAGUUUAUAUUUAUCGGAUAUAGAAAGUCAUUUAAGUACAGUGCAAGGAAUGUCCCAAAACUCUACCUUAAGAAGCACCAAAUUUAUGACAUUUCCGAUAUAUGUAUGUACACAUAUGGCUAUAAAGUUCGCCGAUCCCGGCCGUUUCGACUUGUAUAUAACUUAUAUAUGUACAUUUCGACCUUUUAUUGCAUAUCUUAGGUCAUUUUUAUACAUAGGUCAUUUUAUUUAGGUCAUACAUUUUUGUUAAUACUCUCAGAAAAAUAACUUAUGCUUUAAAUUAUUUAAAUGGAAUUAAAUCUUUAUACCAACGUCUAAUAAUAAAUGUAAGCAUUACUCUAUAAGAAUGUCUAAAUCUGCAUGGCAGGGUAUGCAAGAUUCGCCGAAUCGUUGUAUGGCCCCUUUUUCUUGUCUGUUUUUGUGAAUAGGUACCGGUUAUGUCGUGGUAGACCAGUCUUAAACGAAAUGUGAAUGUGAACUCGUUGCCACAGUGAAUGUACAUAAGAUUAUCCAAAGUAGUUUAUUUGUGAAGGCAUUUUUUUACGUUUGAUUUAUAUAACUUGAAUGAACCUAAUGAUGUCAAUAGUAUUUUAAUAUUUCAUACAAUACUUUCACAAUAUGGUUUUUAACCAAAAAAAAACUAUUUAUCUUUUGCCUACAAUAACGGUUUCAUAUUUAAAGAGAAAAGAUCCUCCAAGAGAAUAGCAGCAGCGGUCGCGGCGGUCCGUGCAAUGGGCCAGGGAGGAACGCGAGGAGGAGGAGCCAUGAACCAAGGGAUAUGGCCAACGCCAGCAAGACCAACGCUUGCCCGCUAGAGCUCUUGCCCGGUUUCGGCAGGAGCUGAAAGGGAGAGAGCAGAUGGGAACUCAGAACUCAGCGCAUAGGUGGCGAGUGAGUUGAAGAGGAUGCAAGGGUGGCCAGGAAGGCUGAAGGGGAUCGGUUUUAGACCAUGCUGUUUGUCUCGUAUUUCAUGGGUCCGAUUCCUGAAACUCUAUCUUUAUAAUUUGUAUAUCGUGAUCAAUGCUUGAACAUACUGGAAAGGGACA